rnacentral:rRNA from 1 species
CCUACGGGAGGCAGCAGUGAGGAAUAUUGGUCAAUGGACGAGAGUCUGAACCAGCCAAGUAGCGUGAAGGAUGACUGCCCUAUGGGUUGUAACUUCUUUUAUAAAGGAAUAAAACGAGGCACGUGUGCCUUUUUGCAUGUACUUUAUGAAUAAGGAUCGGCUAACUCCGUGCCAGCAGCCGCGGUAAUACGGAGGAUCCGAGCGUUAUCCGGAUUUAUUGGGUUUAAAGGGAGCGUAGAUGGGUUGUUAAGUCAGUUGUGAAAGUUUGCGGGUCAACCGUAAAAUUGCAAUUGAUACUGGCAGUCGUGAGUACAGUUGAGGUAGGCAGAAUUCGUGGUGUAGCGGUGAAAUGCUUAGAUAUCACGAAGAACCCCGAUUGCGAAGGCAGCUUACUAAACUGUGACUGACAUUGAUGCUCGAAAGUGUGGGUAUCAAACAGGAUUAGAUACCCCUGUAGUC